rnacentral:rRNA from 1 species
CCAAUAGCGUAUAUUAAAGUUGUUGCAGUUAAAAAGCUCGUAGUUGAAUUUCGGGAUCAAUUUAUCGGUCGUGCCUAUGGUAUGAACUGGUACAAUUGGUUUCUCCCUUCUGACGAAGCAUGAUGUCAUUAAUUUGGUGUCGUGGGGAAUCAGGACUGUUACUUUGAAAAAAUUAGAGUGUUUAAAGCAGGCAUUAGCUUGAAUACAUUAGCAUGGAAUAAUGAAAUAGGACGUUUGAUCCUAUUUCGUUGGUUUCUAGGAUCGACGUAAUGAUUAAUAGGGAUAGUUGGGGGCAUUAGUAUUCAAUUGUCAGAGGUGAAAUUCUUGGAUUUAUUGAAGACUAACUACUGCGAAAGCAUUUGCCAAGGAUGUUUUCAUUAAUCAAGAACGAAAGUUAGGGGAUCGAAGACGAUCAGAUACCGUCGUAGUCUUAACCAUAAACUAUGCCGACUAGGGAUCGGAUGAUGUUAAUUUUUUAAUGACUCAUUCGGCGCCUUACG